UACGGGGGGGGCAAGCGUUGUUCGGAAUUACUGGGCGUAAAGCGCGUGUAGGCGGCCUGUUAAGUCUGACGUGAAAUCCCUGGGCUCAACCCAGGAACUGCAUCGGAAACUGACAGGCUAGAGUCCGGGAGAGGGUAGCGGAAUUCCUGGUGUAGAGGUGAAAUUCGUAGAUAUCAGGAGGAACACCGGUGGCGAAGGCGGCUACCUGGACCGGUACUGACGCUGAGACGCGAAAGCGUGGGGAGCAAACAGG
rnacentral:rRNA from 1 species